rnacentral:tRNA from 1 species
ACCAAAGUAGUUAAAAAAAACACUAAUUUGUGGUAUUAGAAUUAUCAGUUUAAACCUGAUCUAUGGUC